GACGAACGCUGGCGGCGUGCUUAACACAUGCAAGUCGAACGAAGUGGCGAACGGGUGAGUAACGCGUAAUCAACCUGCCCUUCAGAGGGGGACAACAGUUGGAAACGACUGCUAAUACCGCAUAAUGAAGGAGGGGAUUGCGUCUGAUUAGCUAGUUGGAGGGGUAACGGCCCACGAAGGCGAUGAUCAGUAGCCGGUCGGGGAGGAGUACCGUCCACAUUGGGAUGUAGACACGGCCCAGACUCCGACGGGAGGCAGCAGUGGGGAAUCUUCCGCAAUGGACGAAAGUCUGACGGAGCAACGCCGCGUGAGUGAUGACGGCCUUCGGGUUGUAAAGCUCUGUUAAUCGGGACGCGGUACCGGAAUAGAAAGCCACGGCUAACUACGUGCCAGCAGCCGCGUAAUUC
rnacentral:rRNA from 1 species